rnacentral:rRNA from 1 species
GACGUAGGGUGCAAGCGUUGUCCGGAUUUACUGGGCGUAAAGGGCGCGUAGGCGGUCGUGACAAGUCACUUGUGAAAUCUCCGGGCUUAACUCGGAACGGUCAAGUGAUACUGUCGGACUAGAGUACAGAAGGGGCAACUGGAAUUCUCGGUGUAGCGGUGAAAUGCGUAGAUAUCGAGAGGAACACCUGCGGCGAAGGCGGGUUGCUGGGCUGAUACUGACGCUGAGGCGCGAAAGCCAGGGGAGCGAACGGG